rnacentral:rRNA from 1 species
CUGGCUCAGGAUGAACGCUAGCUACAGGCUUAACACAUGCAAGUCGAGGGGCAGCAUUAUCGAAGCUUGCUUGAUAGAUGGCGACCGGCGCACGGGUGAGUAACGCGUAUCCAACCUUCCCAUCACUCAGGGAUAGCCCGCCGAAAGGCGAAUUAAUACCUGAUGGUCUCCUUUGCGGACAUCUAAUGAGGAGUAAAGAUUCAUUGGUGAUGGAUGGGGAUGCGUCUGAUUAGGUAGUAGGCGGGGUAACGGCCCACCUAGCCGACGAUCAGUAGGGUUCUGAGAGGAAGGUCCCCCACAUUGGAACUGAGACACGGUCCAAACUCCUACGGGAGGCAGCAGUGAGGAAUAUUGGUCAAUGGACGGAAGUCUGAACCAGCCAAGUAGCGUGCAAGGAUGACGGCCCUAUGGGUUGUAAACUGCUUUUGUGCGGGAAUAAAGUAUGGGACGUGUCCCAUUUUGCAUGUACCGCACGAAUAAGGACCGGCUAAUUCCGUGCCAGCCGCUGC